CUACCGGGGUAUCUAAUCCUGUUUGCUCCCCACGCUUUCGCACAUGAGCGUCAGUACAUUCCCAAGGGGCUGCCUUCGCCUUCGGUAUUCCUCCACAUCUCUACGCAUUUCACCGCUACACGUGGAAUUCUACCCCUCCCUAAAGUACUCUAGCGACCCAGUAUGAAAUGCAAUUCCCAGGUUAAGCCCGGGGCUUUCACACCUCACUUAAGUCACCGCCUGCGUGCCCUUUACGCCCAGUUAUUCCGAUUAACGCUCGCACCCUCCGUAUUACCGCGGCUGCUGGCAC
rnacentral:rRNA from 1 species